ensembl:lncRNA
AAAACUCUCAGAAAAAAAAAAAAAAGUGCCCAACAUCUAUUUUUACAACCUGAGAAAAUGUAGUAAAAAUAAAAUAGCGUGGCCGGCAACGGCUUGUAUGCUUCUGUCUACCCGAGCGAGAUCCGUGCUGCCCAGAAAACAGCAUGCUCCUAAUUAAUUCUUCCAGCAGCAGACUCCCGACUGUUCACUAACAGAUAAGCAAACUGAGGCUCCAAGAGGCAAAACAACCUGCUCCAAGUCCUACAAGAGGAUUCAAGCCUAGACCUGUGCCCCCAUGGUCUUGACCUUCUUCAGCACGCCUUGAUCUCCCCCAGCCCAGGGCUUGUCACAAUUCUGUCUCCUGCGAGCUCCGGGAUGCUGGCACUGUCUCCACCUCCGUCUCUGGGACUUGGAUCUGCACUGUCAGUUCUUCCUAUCGCAUAGGCUCGGCACUGUCUCUCUUCUGAGCCCUUCGGUGCACACGUGGGCUCAGAUGGCCACAACUCAGAAAUCCAUCCCUGCGUUCUGAUCAGGCUCCCACGUCAGGAGUCUCCCAGCGGGCAGUGUGCUUGCUCGCCUCCAGCCGUUCUUGGGAGGAAUGAGGAGAGGAUGAAGAGGAAGGAAAGAAAUAGAAAAAUAAGAUUCGUCCUGAGCCCUUCUCUGAGAGGGGCCCUGAGCUGGGCUCUGCAGAGCUGGUGACUCAGCUGGCUCCCACCCUUGCUCGGGUGAAGGCCAUGCCCGGGCCGGUGGCCAAGGGACAGCAAGACUUCAUCUUCCAUGCCAGCUGCUGGCAGCAAGCCCACACACAGGAGCUGCCGCUAGAGAGCUGCAGGAUGAAUGCACAAAACAGAGCAGCCAAUGCUGGGGACAGAAAUUGCAAGGUCCACCAAGAGGUCUCUGGGGGCUAAAAGGGUCUCCCCACCCAUCCCUCAGUCCCUGGAGUCACCCGGGAGUUUGACAGCAGCUGAGGCCUGCGCAGGGCACUCGGCUCUGGUCUGUUUGUUAUUUUGCGGAACAUCAGAGCAGCAGCCACACGCCAGGCCCUGGCAUGGAGGAGCUGAACUCAUGAUGCUAAGUGAAAGAAGCUAGACAUGAAAGGUCCCAUGGAGCACGAUCCCAUCUGUGUGAAAUAUGCAGAAGAGAGAGAUUCACAAGAGACCGGAAGCUGACUGUUGCUGCAGACGGGGCCUGACCUACACUAGUGAGGGGCAUCUUCCUGUGUCAUCUGGUGAUUCCAACCCCAGUCUCCAAACAGCCCUCUGCGACACGGGUGCCAUAGGUUCACCAUCACUGCCUUGACCCAACCAAGUCUGCC